CAUCUGAACACAUCAUAUUUAUCUGUCCUAAUCUGUACAAAUAAUUCAUUAGACAGCAGAGUGCUGGGACCUCAAUCCUGUCUCUUGAUUUAAAGAUGAAGUGGGAAUGGCCAGUGACUGUCACCAACUUAGAAGACAACCUGAAAGGCUGCUGUCACCAAAACACCUAGAGCUGCACAGUGGACCUUACUGGUGACUGAAAUUUCCAGGCUAGCUGAGGAAAACUGCUCUGAAUUUCAACUCUCCAUGUCCAGAGAUGGAAAAGAUAAUGAAUGCAUCACCAGAAUGGCUCCAGUCUCAACACAAGGCAGUUUGCUGUGAACAAGCAGAAGGUAACAAAUCCAUGAGCCAGUAUCACCAAUACUAACCUGAAUGGCCCCAAUCAAGCAUCACCGCACAAGGGAUAUGGAAAAUAAAUGUACUGUACAAGCCACAUAAA